rnacentral:rRNA from 1 species
UGGGGAAUAUUGCGCAAUGGGGGGAACCCUGACGCAGCCAUGCCGCGUGAAUGAAGAAGGCCUUCGGGUUGUAAAGUUCUUUCGGUAUUGAGGAAGGUUGAUGUGUUAAUAGCACAUCAAAUUGACGUUAAAUACAGAAGAAGCACCGGCUAACUCCGUGCCAGCAGCCGCGGUAAUACGGAGGGUGCGAGCGCUAAUCGGAAUAACUGGGCGUAAAGGGCACGCAGGCGGUUAUUUAAGUGAGGUGUGAAAGCCCUGGGCUUAACCUAGGAAUUGCAUUUCAGACUGGGUAACUAGAGUACUUUAGGGAGGGGUAGAAUUCCACGUGUAGCGGUGAAAUGCGUAGAGAUGUGGAGGAAUACCGAAGGCGAAGGCAGCCCCUUGGGAAUGUACUGACGCUCAUGUGCGAAAGCGUGGGGAGCAAACAGGAUUAGAUACCCUGGUAGUCCACGCUGUAAACGCUGUCGAUUUGGGGAUUGGGCUUAGAGCUUGGUGCCCGUAGCUAACGUGAUAAAUCGACCGCCUGGGGAGUACGGCCGCAAGGUUA